rnacentral:rRNA from 1 species
AUAAAGUUCUAGACAUAAAAGGAAUGAUGACUAUUUUUUGUCUAUAAGUAUUGACCAAAUUACGUGCCAGCCGUCGCGGUAAUACGUAAAAUACAAGUGUUAUUCAUCUUUAAUGGGUUUAAAGGGUACCUAGACAGAAAAUCAAGCCAUAAGAGGGACUAAUUUUCUAGAGUUUUAUAUGAGAAAGAAGAAUUGUUAGAGGAGAGAUGAAAUUCAUUGAUACUAACAAGACUGGGAACAGCGAAGGCAUUUUUCUAUGUAAAAACUGACGUUGAGGGACGAAGCCUAGGGUAACGAAAAGGAUUAGAUACCCUAAUAGUCCUAGGAGAAAAUUAUGAAUGCCAUAGGCUAGAUCUUUUGGCCUAUAAAUGAAAGUGUAAGCAUUUCACCUUACAAGUAAAGCGGCAACGCCGAAACUGAAAUCAUUAGACCGUUACUGAAAACAGUAGUGAAGUAUGUUAUUUAAUUCGAUGGUCCGCGAAUAACCUUACCACAAUUUGAAUAUUAUUAAAUUAUUACAAGCGCUGCACGGCUGUCUUCAGCUUGUGUCGUGAGAUUUUGGUUAGAUCCAUUAAUAAGCGAAAACCCUUACUUUAUUUAAAUUAAAAUUCAAUUUAAUUUAAAUUGAAUUUUAAAAUUAAUUUAAUUUGAAUUUUAUAAUUCCAUUUAAAUAAAAAUUAAAAUUGAAAUUUAAUAGAGUAGUUCGCCACUAUAUUGGUAUGAUAAAAGGGAUUAAGACAAGUCAUCAUGGCCUUAAUAUUGUGGGCUAUAGACGUGCCACAUUUGCCUUUACAAAGGGAUGCGAUAUUG